UGAGGAAUAUUGGUCAAUGGACGGAAGUCUGAACCAGCCAAGUAGCGUGCAGGAAGACGGCCCUAUGGGUUGUAAACUGCUUUUAUACGAGAAUAAUUUGAUGCACGUGUGCGUUAUUGCAUGUAUCGUAUGAAUAAGGACCGGCUAAUUCCGUGCCAGCAGCCGCGGUAAUACGGAAGGUCCAGGCGUUAUCCGGAUUUAUUGGGUUUAAAGGGAGUGUAGGCGGUUUGUUAAGCGUGUUGUGAAAUUUAGGUGCUCAACAUUUAACUUGCAGCGCGAACUGUCAGACUUGAGUACACGCAACGUAUGCGGAAUUCAUGGUGUAGCGGUGAAAUGCUUAGAUAUCAUGAAGAACUCCGAUUGCGAAGGCAGCAUACGGGAGUGUAACUGACGCUUAAGCUCGAAGGUGCGGGUAUCGAACAGGAUUAGAUACCCUGGUAGUCCGCACAGUAAACGAUGGAUGCCCGCUGUUAGCGCCUGGCGUUAGCGGCUAAGCGAAAGCAUUAAGCAUCCCACUUGGGGAGUACGCCGGCAACGGUG
rnacentral:rRNA from 1 species